UGGGGCAUGGGGGCUGUUGGUUUAGAUUGCUUAGGAAUCUUAGAGGAGGUCUCUUUAAAUAGACAUAAAGAUUGAAUCUUAUUCAAUCUCAUAAUACAAGUCCUACUUGCAUUACGUUUCCUAGUAACUAAAGUUAUUUAACUUUCUUUAGUAAUCCUUUUAGGCACCAACUCUUGGAGCCCUUGCACCCACAUAAACACAUCCCAAAGUGCACCCAAGGGAUGCCCCAUAAAGGGUCUACAUGCCCUCUAAAGAUGGGACAUGCCCAACUUGAUCCAAACAAGGUGGUGCCCCAACUAAACUAUCAAGGAAUUAAAUUAAGGACUUGCAUCUUUAAUUCAAUUGAUCCAAAACCUUAGACACCCA
rnacentral:lncRNA from 1 species